AGAGCGAACGCUGGCGGCAGGCUUAACACAUGCAAGUCGAGCGGGCGUAGCAAUACGUCAGCGGCAGACGGGUGAGUAACGCGUGGGAACGUACCUUUUAGUUCGGAACAACCCAGGGAAACUUGGGCUAAUACCGGAUAAGCCCUUACGGGGAAAGAUUUAUCGCCGAAAGAUCGGCCCGCGUCUGAUUAGCUAGUUGGUGGGGUAAUGGCCCACCAAGGCGACGAUCAGUAGCUGGUCUGAGAGGAUGAUCAGCCACAUUGGGACUGAGACACGGCCCAAACUCCUACGGGAGGCAGCAGUGGGGAAUAUUGGACAAUGGGCGCAAGCCUGAUCCAGCCAUGCCGCGUGAGUGAUGAAGGCCCUAGGGUUGUAAAGCUCUUUUGUGCGGGAAGAUAAUGACGGUACCGCAAGAAUAAGCCCCGGCUAACUUCGCGCCAGCAGCCGC
rnacentral:rRNA from 1 species